rnacentral:rRNA from 1 species
AGCAGCCGCGGUAAUUCCAGCUCCAAUAGCGUAUAUUAAAGUUGUUGCAGUUAAAAAGCUCGUAGUUGAAUUUCGGGGUUAGUAGGCUGGUCAUGCCACCGGUAUGUACUGGUCUUUCUGAUUCCUCCUUCCUGAUGAACUGUAAUGCCAUUAAUUUGGUGUUGCAGGGAAUCUGGACUGUUACUUUGAAAAAAUUAGAGUGUUUAAAGCAGGCUAACGCUUGAAUACAUUAGCAUGGAAUAAUGAAAUAGGACGCUCGAUCCUAUUUUGUUGGUUUCUAGGAUUGACGUAAUGAUUAAUAGGGAUAGUUGGGGGCAUUAGUAUUCAAUUGUCAGAGGUGAGAUUCUUGGAUUUAUUGAAGACUAACUACUGCGAAAGCAUUUGCCAAGGAUGUUUUCAUUAAUCAAGAACGAAAGUUAGGGGAUCGAAGACGAUCAGAUACCGUCGUAGUCUUAACCAUAAACUAUGCCGACUAGGGAUCGGAUGAUGUUAAUUUUUAAUGACUCAUUC